GAUGCAGCGGCUGCCCUCUAAUUCUGCCAUUCAGGAACUUAAAGGAAUCAUGGACAAUUUCCAAAGAACCACCCCGCAACCAAGCGCAGUGGCUCCAUCAACAAACCGUGACGAGGAGCUGCAGAGGAUCCUGCUCAAACGUCGGGAUGCGCUGGAGUCAGAGCAAAACAACAGUCCCCAUCCUGCAGCCUCUCUUGCAGUGUGAGGCUGCCAACAGGUUGAGAUUGGUCCUAACAGGAGUAUCCACGUCCAUCUAACAGGAGUAUCCACGUCCAUCUAACAGGAGUAUCCACGUCCAUCUAACAGGAGUAUCCACGUCCAUCUAACAGGAGUAUCCACGUCCAUCUAACAGGAGUAUCCACGUCCAUCUAACAGGAGUAUCCACGUCCAUCUAACAGGAGUAUCCACCUCCAUCUAACAGGAGUAUCCACCUCCAUCUGACUGGAUGUGGUUGAUGGCAGAUGCAAAAUCAGUGUUUAACAUUUUAUUGUACCGUGUGUUUACAUAAUACAUUUGAAAUAAUUGACUAUCAACAGCCAGUAAUACUGACAAAUGGGCCAAAAGUACAUUUCCUCACAGGUAAAAAGAAAAAUCUUUGAAGGUAUCCUGGUUGUGAAUCACUUGUUUACAUUUAGUUAUUUGGCAGGUUCCUUUACCCACAACGACUUCCAAGAGAGAUACACGGCAAAGGCAGGGUAAGCGUAAGGAGGUCUUGCCUAAGGACCCCUACUACUCCUACUACUAUCCAGAGAUCAGACUUUAGCAUCUGAACUAAAAGACCAAAUGUGUCAGUGAUUUACCAUCAGUGCAUUUAAAUGCACUCAAGUAACCAGGUUACAAUUGGUUUUCUCAAGUGUCAUAACAAUAUCAUUUAAUGCCUGGAGUUCUCUGUGCCACUAUGGUCUGUUUGAAACGAAGUGGGGGACUGGGUUGUUCGAAAAAGUGGCUAAAUGUAAAUUCAUUCUAUGUUUUGUGUUAUGAAAUCACAAAGUGAUUAUUCUACAAUAAAAGUUAUGGUAUGUUAACAGAAAGAAAGAAAACAGAUAACAGUUGGCUAAAAUGAAAUGUCCAAUCCUGAAUUUAUUUUGUUCACUCUGUAGUUUGUAUCUGGGGGGUUAGUCAUUUCUCUUUUCAGCAUUCACCAACCCUGUGACCAAUAAAAGUUUACAUACUGUUAAUUUCACUACUUCUAAUUUACACUGCUCAAAAAAAUAAAGGUACACUUUGAAAACACAUCAAGAAAAAAACUCAUGCUGGAUAUUUAUGCUGAUAUGGACUGGAUGAUGUGUUAGGACCGAAAGAAUGUCCCAUCAGUUGAUGGAAAUUGAAAUCAAAGUGGUCCAUUUUAUUGAAAUUUCAUUACAGCAACUCAAAAUGGUACUCAGCAGUUUCCUUUGGCCCCCACAUGCUUGUAUGCAUGCCUGACAAUAUCAGGGCAUGUUCCUAAUGAGAUGAUAGAUGAUUCCCAGGGGUAUCUCCUCCCAGAUCUGGAUCAGGACAUCACUGAGCUCCCAGACAGUCUGAGGUACAAC
rnacentral:lncRNA from 1 species